rnacentral:rRNA from 2 species
GAUCAAGUGUCUUAAGGGCAUUUGGUGGAUGCCUUGGCAUGCACAGGCGAUGAAGGACGUGAUACGCUGCGAUAAGCGUCGGGGAGGUGCGAAUACCCUUUGAUCCGACGAUUUCCGAAUGGGGCAACCCACCUUAGAUAGCUAGAAAAUCAAUUUAGUUGGAGCAACGCUGUUGGGUUUAGGCCCAUACAGACCGCUAGGUCGUCGGCCCAUGUGGGCCGCCCCCGCGGAGCGCCAGCAUCGUAAGAUGCGUACGGCGCGUGAGCGAGAACUAAAUUAAUUUCUAGUUAUCGUAAUAAGGUAUCUACACCUGAAUACAUAGGGUGUUAGAAGCGAACCUGGGGAACUGAAACAUCUAAGUACCCAGAGGAAAGGACAUCAAACGAGACUCCGCUAGUAGUGGCGAGCGAACGCGGACCAGGCCAGUGGCAAUAGGGAAUAAAGUGGAAGAACCUGGAAAGGUUUGCCGAAGUGGGUGAUAGCCCCGUACACGUAGAACACCUGUUGUCCUUGAGUAGGGCGGGACACGUGAAAUCCUGUCUGAACAUGGGUCGACCACGAUCCAAGCCUAAGUACUCGUGCAUGACCGAUAGCGAACCGUACCGUGAGGGAAAGGUGAAAAGCACCCCGACGAGGGGAGUGAAACAGUACCUGAAACCGGAUGCCUACAAACAGUUGGAGCCCAAGGUUCGUCCUGGGUGACAGCGUACCUUUUGUAUAAUGGGUCAGCGACUUAGUGUAUCGAGCAAGCUUAAGCCGGUAGGUGUAGGCGCAGCGAAAGCGAGUCUGAACAGGGCGUUCAGUUCGAUGCAUUAGACCCGAAACCAAGUGAUCUAGCCAUGAGCAGGUUGAAGGUACGGUAACACGUACUGGAGGACCGAACCCAUAUCUGUUGCAAUAGAUCGGGAUGACUUGUGGCUAGGGGUGAAAGGCCAAUCAAACUUGGAGAUAGCUGGUUCUCCGCGAAAUCUAUUUAGGUAGAGCGUCCAGCGAAUACCCCCGGGGGUAGAGCACUGAAUGGGCUAUGGGGACUCACCGUCUUACUGAUCCUAAUCAAACUUCGAAUACCAUACAGUUGGAAGCAGAGGACAGACGGUGGGUGCUAACGUUCAUCGUCAAGAGGGAAACAACCCGGACCGCCAGCUAAGGUCCCCAAGUUCUAGUUAAGUGGGAAACGAUGUGGGAAGGCAUAGACAGCCAGGAUGUUGGCUUAGAAGCAGCCAUCAUUUAAAGAAAGCGUAACAGCUCACUGGUCUAAAUAAGGGUCUUUGCGCCGAAAAUGUACCGGGGCUAAAGCCAUACACCGAAGCUGUGGAUGCACAUUUGUGCGUGGUAGCGGAGCGUUCCGUAAGCCUGUGAAGGGACAGUCGUGAGACAUCCUGGAGGUAUCGGAAGUGAGAAUGCUGACAUGAGUAACGAUAAAGGGAGUGAGAGACUCCCUCGCCGAAAGUCCAAGGGUUCCUGCUUAAAGUUAAUCUGAGCAGGGUUAGCCGGCCCCUAAGGCGAGGCCGAAAGGCGUAGUCGAUGGGAACCACGUUAAUAUUCGUGGGCCUGCAGGUAGUGACGGAUCGCGUGUGUUGUAAGGUCUUAUUGGAUUGAUCUUGCAGCGAAGCGGUUCCAGGAAAUAGCUCCUGCAUAUAGACCGUACCCUAAACCGACACUGGUGGACUGGUAGAGAAUACCAAGGCGCUUGAGAGAACUGCGUUGAAGGAACUCGGCAAAAUGCACGCGUAACUUCGGAAGAAGCGUGACCUCCAUUUAGGCAACUAGGUGGGGGUGGCACAGACCAGGGGGUAGCGACUGUUUACCAAAAACACAGGGCUCUGCGAAGUCGCAAGACGACGUAUAGGGUCUGACGCCUGCCCGGUGCUGGAAGGUUAAGAGGAGAUGUGCAAGCAUUGAAUUGAAGCCCCAGUAAACGGCGGCCGUAACUAUAACGGUCCUAAGGUAGCGAAAUUCCUUGUCGGGUAAGUUCCGACCUGCACGAAUGGCGUAACGACUUCCCCCGCUGUCUCCAACGCAGACUCAGUGAAAUUGAAUUCCCCCGUGAAGAUGCGGGGUUCCUGCGGUUAGACGGAAAGACCCCGUGCACCUUUACUAUAGCUUUACACUGGCAUUCGUGUCGGCAUGUGUAGGAUAGGUGGUAGACUUUGAAGCAGUGGCGCCAGCCAUUGUGGAGUCAUCCUUGAAAUACCACCCUUGCCUAUAUGGAUGUCUAACUGCGGCCCGUUAUCCGGGUCCAGGACCGUGUAUGGUGGGUAGUUUGACUGGGGCGGUCGCCUCCUAAAGAGUAACGGAGGCGCGCGAUGGUAGGCUCAGAACGGUCGGAAAUCGUUCGUCGAGUGCAAUGGCAUAAGCCUGCCUGACUGCAAGACUGACAAGUCGAGCAGAGACGAAAGUCGGUCAUAGUGAUCCGGUGGUCCCGCGUGGAAGGGCCAUCGCUCAACGGAUAAAAGGUACGCCGGGGAUAACAGGCUGAUGACCCCCAAGAGUCCAUAUCGACGGGGUUGUUUGGCACCUCGAUGUCGACUCAUCGCAUCCUGGGGCUGGAGCAGGUCCCAAGGGUAUGGCUGUUCGCCAUUUAAAGCGGUACGUGAGUUGGGUUCAGAACGUCGUGAGACAGUUCGGUCCCUAUCUGCCGUGGGUGUAGGAAUAUUGAUAGGAUCUGAUCCCUAGUACGAGAGGACCGGGUUGGACAGUCUCUUCUGGUGGACCUGUGGCCUGCCACGCAGCUGGGUAGCUUAUACGGACGGGAUAACCGCUGAAAGCAUCUUAA